GGGGUUGUAAAGCCCCACCUUAAUGCAGCCAUCCGGAAGGAUGCCGGUCACAAGCCCGGAUAAAGGCAGAGUGAGGU
rnacentral:ribozyme from 1 species